rfam:Bacteroidetes bacterium RIFCSPLOWO2_12_FTLL_37_12 rifcsplowo2_12_scaffold_37, whole genome shotgun sequence.
CAUCAUUGGAGACCAGUGACCAAUCAAAAAAACGGGGUGUCCCCGAAAAACCAUACGAGUAGGGCUAAU